rnacentral:rRNA from 1 species
GACAGAGGGUGCAAACGUUGUUCGGAAUUACUGGGCGUAAAGCGCGUGUAGGCGGUCGUGCAAGUCGGGUGUGAAAGCCCUCGGCUCAACCGGGGAAGUGCACUCGAAACUGCAUGACUAGAGUCUCGGAGAGGAUAGUGGAAUUCUCGGUGUAGAGGUGAAAUUCGUAGAUAUCGAGAGGAACACCGGUGGCGAAGGCGGCUAUCUGGACGAUGACUGACGCUGAGACGCGAAAGCGCGGGGAGCAAACAGG